ACGCACGCUGGCGGCGUGCUUCACACAUGCCAGUCGAACGGAAAGGCCCUUCGGGGUACUCGAGUGGCGAACGGGUGAGUAACACGUGGGUGAUCUGCCCUGCACUUUGGGAUAAGCCUGGGAAACUGGGUCUAAUACCGAAUAUGAUCAUCGGCUUCAUGGUCGGUGGUGGAAAGCUUUUGCGGUGUGGGAUGGGCCCGCGGCCUAUCAGCUUGUUGGUGGGGUAAUGGCCUACCAAGGCGACGACGGGUAGCCGGCCUGAGAGGGUGACCGGCCACACUGGGACUGAGAUACGGCCCAGACUCCUACGGGAGGCAGCAGUGGGGAAUAUUGCACAAUGGGCGCAAGCCUGAUGCAGCGACGCCGCGUGAGGGAUGACGGCCUUCGGGUUGUAAACCUCUUUCAGCACAGACGAAGCGCAAGUGACGGUAUGUGCAGAAGAAGGACCGGCCAACUACGUG
rnacentral:rRNA from 1 species